rnacentral:rRNA from 1 species
CAGUAGCACGGUAAAACGAAGGGGGCUAGCGUUGUUCGGAAUUACUGGGCGUAAAGCGCACGUAGGCGGAUUGUUAAGUUAGGGGUGAAAUCCCAGGGCUCAACCCUGGAACUGCCUUUAAUACUGGCAAUCUCGAGUCCGAGAGAGGUGAGUGGAAUUCCGAGUGUAGAGGUGAAAUUCGUAGAUAUUCGGAGGAACACCAGUGGCGAAGGCGGCUCACUGGCUCGGUACUGGCGCUGAGGUGCGAAAGCGUGGGGAGCAAACAGGAUUAGAUACCCGCGUAGUCCCUGUCUCUUAUACA